AUGUCUAACUAUCAGGAGCCACCACUGGGACAGAUCAUAGGGCAACAAGGAAGCUUUCUCCUCCAGAUUUCCUGGGGUCAAGGAUUUGUGUGUGCAAGAACCCACAUCUGUUGCUGCCAGGCCCUGUCCAGUUUUUUGGUCUUGUCGUUCUUGGGAAUUAAAACUCCUGUGUUCCUAAAUUAUGCAACGUCAGCUUUCUGGAUGGAAGCCAUUUUGUAGAAUUCUGGGACCUGGGCUGCUGUAGAAUGUGGUGUCAUCCCCAAUGAGAGAAAGAUGUAUAUUUUAAAAAAAAAAUAAUAAAAAUUUUGUCCCUAUGCA
rnacentral:lncRNA from 1 species